AACGAACGCUGGCGGCAUGCCUAACACAUGCAAGUCGAACGAGAUCUUCGGGUCUAGUGGCGCACGGGUGCGUAACGCGUGGGAAUCUGCCCUUUGGUUCGGAAUAACAGUUGGAAACGACUGCUAAUACCGGAAGAUGACGAAAGUCCAAAGAUUUAUCGCCAGAGGAUGAGCCCGCGUAGGAUUAGCUAGUUGGUGUGGUAAAGGCGCACCAAGGCGACGAUCCUUAGCUGGUCUGAGAGGAUGAUCAGCCACACUGGGACUGAGACACGGCCCAGACUCCUACGGGAGGAAGCAGUGGGGAAUAUUGGACAAUGGGCGAAAGCCUGAUCCAGCAAUGCCGCGUGAGUGAUGAGGGCCUUAGGGUGUAAAGCUCUUUUACCCGGGAUGAUAAUGACAGUACCGGGAGAAUAAGCUCCGGCUAACUCCGUGCCAGCCGCCGCCGUAA
rnacentral:rRNA from 1 species